rnacentral:rRNA from 1 species
GCAUAUCAAUAAGCGGAGGAAAAGAAACCAACAGGGAUUGCCCCAGUAACGGCGAGUGAAGCGGCAACAGCUCAAAUUUGAAAUCUGGCCCCCAGGGCCCGAGUUGUAAUUUGCAGAGGAUGCUUUUGGCGCGGCGCCUUCCGAGUUCCCUGGAACGGGACGCCACAGAGGGUGAGAGCCCCGUCUGGUCGGACGCCUAGCCUGUGUAAAGCUCCUUCGACGAGUCGAGUAGUUUGGGAAUGCUGCUCUAAAUGGGAGGUAUAUGUCUUCUAAAGCUAAAUAUUGGCCAGAGACCGAUAGCGCACAAGUAGAGUGAUCGAAAGAUGAAAAGCACUUUGAAAAGAGGGUUAAACAGUACGUGAAAUUGUUGAAAGGGAAGCGCUCGUCACCAGACUUGCGCCCGGCGGAUCAUCCGGCGUUCUCGCCGGUGCACUCCGCCGGGCGCAGGCCAGCAUCAGUUCGCCGCGGGGGACAAAGGCGGCGGGAACGUGGCUCCCCCGGGAGUGUUAUAGCCCGCCGCGCAAUGCCCUGGGGCGGACUGAGGUCCGCGCAUCGCAAGGAUGCUGGCGUAAUGGUGAUCAGCGACCCGUCUUGAAACACGGACCAAGGAGUCGUCCUCGUAUGCGAGUGUUCGGGUGUGAAACCCCUACGCGUAAUGAAAGUGAACGCAGGUGAGAGCUUCGGCGCAUCAUCGACCGAUCCUGAUGUUCUCGGAUGGAUUUGAGUAAGAGCAUACGGGGCCGGACCCGAAAGAAGGUGAACUAUGCCUGUAUAGGGUGAAGCCAGAGGAAACUCUGGUGGAGGCUCGCAGCGGUUCUGACGUGCAAAUCGAUCGUCAAAUAUGGGCAUGGGGGGCGAAAGACUAAUCGAACCUUCUAGUAGCUGGUUUCCGCCGA